AGGAUGAACGCUGGCGGUACGUCUGACACAUGCAAGUCGAACGGUAAGCCACCUUCGGGCGGCCUAGAGUGGCGAACGGCUGAGUAACACGUAGGAACCUACCCCUUAGUCUGGGAUAACGGGACGAAAGCCCCGCUAAUACCGGAUAAUAUCGAAAGAUUGAAAGGUUUACUGCUGAGGGAGGGCCUGCGGGCUAUUAGCUUAAUGGUGGGUGAUGGCUCACCAUGGCGAUGGAUGGCUAGCUGGUCUGAGAGGAUGAUCAGCCAGACUGGGACUGAGACACGGCCCAGACUCCUACGGGAGCAGCAGUUCAGAUCUGC
rnacentral:rRNA from 1 species